rnacentral:tRNA from 1 species
CGGAGUGUAGCGCAGCCCGGUAGCGUACUUGCAUGGGGUGCAAGGGGUCGUGGGUUCGAAUCCCGCCACUCCGACAA